rnacentral:rRNA from 1 species
GCCUUAGUAACGGCGAGUGAAGCGGCAACAGCUCAAAUUUGAAAUCUGGCCCCAGGCCCGAGUUGUAAUUUGCAGAGGAUGCUUUUGGCGCGGUGCCUUCCGAGUUCCCUGGAACGGGACGCCAUAGAGGGUGAGAGCCCCGUCUGGUUGGAUACCAAGCCUUUGUAAAGCUCCUUCGACGAGUCGAGUAGUUUGGGAAUGCUGCUCUAAAUGGGAGGUAUAUGUCUUCUAAAGCUAAAUACCGGCCAGAGACCGAUAGCGCACAAGUAGAGUGAUCGAAAGAUGAAAAGCACUUUGGAAAGAGAGUUAAACAGCACGUGAAAUUGUUAAAAGGGAAGCGUUUAUGACCAGACUUGGGCCGGUUAAUCAUCCAGCGUUCUCGCUGGUGCACUUUGCCGGUCCAGGCCAGCAUCAGUUCGCUGCGGGGGAUAAAGGCGUCGGGAAUGUGGCUCCUCUGGAGUGUUAUAGCCCUUCGCGCAAUACCCUGCGGUGGACUGAGGUUCGCGCAUCUGCAAGGAUGCUGGCGUAAUGGUCAUCAACGACCCGUCUUGAAACACGGACCAAGGAGUCGUCUUCGUAUGCGAGUGUUCGGGUGUAAAACCCCUACGCGUAAUGAAAGUGAACGCAGGUGAGAGCUUCGGCGCAUCAUCGACCGAUCCUGAUGUUCUCGGAUGGAUUUGAGUAAGAGCAUACGGGGCCGGACCCGAAAGAAGGUGAACUAUGCCUGUAUAGGGUGAAGCCAGAGGAAACUCUGGUGGAGGCUCGCAGCGGUUCUGACGUGCAAAUCGAUCGUCAAAUAUGGGCAUGGGGGCGAAAGACUAAU